UUGAACGCUGGCGGCAGGCCUAACACCUGCAAGUCGAGCGGAUGAAGGGAGCUUGCUCCUGGAUUCAGCGGCGGACGGGUGGGUAAUGCCUAGGAAUCUGCCUGGUAGUGGGGGAUAACGUCCGGAAACGGGCGCUAAUACCGCAUACGUCCUGAGGGAGAAAGUGGGGGAUCUUCGGACCUCACGCUAUCAGAUGAGCCUAGGUCGGAUUAGCUAGUUGGUGGGGUAAAGGCCUACCAAGGCGACGAUCCGUAACUGGUCUGAGAGGAUGAUCAGUCACACUGGAACUGAGAAAAGGUCCAGACUCCUACGGGAGGCAGCAGUGGGGAAUAUUGGACAAUGGGCGAAAGCCUGAUCCAGCCAUGCCGCGUGUGUGAAGAAGGUCUUCGGAUUGUAAAGCACUUUAAGUUGGGAGGAAGGGCAGUAAGUUAAUACCUUGCUGUUUUGACGUUACCAACAGAAUAAGCACCGGCUAACUUCGUG
rnacentral:rRNA from 1 species